UUAAUAGUAAAAUCUGCUCAAUGAACAUUUCAAUAGCCGCAAUUCGUGCUAAGGUAGCAUAAUCAUUUGUCUUUUAAAUGAGGACUAGAACAAAAGAUCUAACAUCUUAAUCUUUUUUUUUUAAUUAAAUAUYCUAAUUUAUUUUAAAGGUUAAAAAACCUUUAUAAUAUAAAAAGACGACAAGACCCUAUUGAACUUUACUUUAGUUAAACUGGGGCAGUAAAUUAAUUAUUAUUUUAAUUUAUAUUUUUAUAUAAAAAGCCAUAUAAUUGAUAAAUCAGUUACCAUAGGGAUAACAGCGUAAUUUUAUUUUAAAGACCUUAUUAAAAAUAAAGAUUGCGACCUCGAUGUUGAAUUAAUAACCUAAUUAAAGCAAAAUUUAAAAUAGGAAGUCUGUUCGACUUUUAAAUAAUUACAUGAUUUGAGUUCAGACCGGUAUAAGCCAGGUCGGUUUCUAUCUUUUAUAAAUGUUUUUGUAGUACGAAAGGACCUAAUAAUUUAAUAUUAUUAUUAUAUUGGCAGAUUAAUGCAUUAGAAUUAGAAUCUAAUUAUCU
rnacentral:rRNA from 1 species